rnacentral:rRNA from 1 species
UACGUAGGGGGCAAGCGUUGUCCGGAAUUAUUGGGCGUAAAGAGCGCGUAGGCGGUCCGGUAAGUCGGUUGUGAAAGUCGGGGGGCUCAACCCUCGGAUGCCGAUCGAUACUGUCGGGCUAGAGUCCGGAAGAGGCGAGUGGAAUUCCUGGUGUAGCGGUGAAAUGCGCAGAUAUCAGGAGGAACACCGGUGGCGAAGGCGGCUCACUGGACCGGUACUGACGCUGAGGCGCGAAAGCGUGGGGAGCAAACGGG